GACGAACGCUGGCGGUGUGCUUAACACAUGCAAGUCGAACGGUAAGGCCCUUUCGGGGGUACACGAGUGGCGAACGGGUGAGUAACACGUGAGUAACCUGCCCUCAUCUCUGGGAUAACAGUCGGAAACGGUUGCUAAUACUGGAUAUGAGCUUGCAAGGCAUCUUGUGGGUUGGAAAGAUUUUUUUUGGUUGGGGAUGGACUCGCGGCCUAUCAGCUUGUUGGUGAGGUAGUGGCUCACCAAGGCUUCGACGGGUAGCCGGCCUGAGAGGGCGACCGGCCACAUUGGGACGGAGAUACGGCCCAAACUCCUACGGGAGGCAGCAGUGGGGAAUAUUGCACAAUGGACGGAAGUCUGAUGCAGCAACGCCGCGUGCGGGAUGACGGCCUUCGGGUUGUAAACCGCUGUCAAUUGUGACGAAGCUUUUUUGUGACGGUAGCAGUAGAAGAAGCACCGGCUAACUACGUG
rnacentral:rRNA from 1 species